rnacentral:rRNA from 1 species
UAACCUGCCCAUCAGAAGGGGAUAACACUUGGAAACAGGUGCUAAUACCGUAUAACACUAUUUUCCGCAUGGAAGAAAGUUGAAAGGCGCUUUUGCGUCACUGAUGGAUGGACCCGCGGUGCAUUAGCUAGUUGGUGAGGUAACGGCUCACCAAGGCAACGAUGCAUAGCCGACCUGAGAGGGUGAUCGGCCACACUGGGACUGAGACACGGCCCAGACUCCUACGGGAGGCAGCAGUAGGGAAUCUUCGGCAAUGGACGAAAGUCUGACCGAGCAACGCCGCGUGAGUGAAGAAGGUUUUCGGAUCGUAAAACUCUGUUGUUAGAGAAGAACAAGGAUGAGAGUAAAAUGUUCAUCCCUUGACGGUAUCUAACCAGAAAGCCACGGCUAACUACGUGCCAGCAGCCGCGGUAAUACGUAGGUGGCAAGCGUUGUCCGGAUUUAUUGGGCGUAAAGCGAGCGCAGGCGGUUUCUUAAGUCUGAUGUGAAAGCCCCCGGCUCAACCGGGGAGGGUCAUUGGAAACUGGGAGACUUGAGUGCAGAAGAGGAGAGUGGAAUUCCAUGUGUAGCGGUGAAAUGCGUAGAUAUAUGGAGGAACACCAGUGGCGAAGGCGGCUCUCUGGUCUGUAGCUGAGGCUCGAAAGCGUGGGGAGCGAACAGGAUUAGAUACCCUGGUAGUCCACGCCGUAAACGAUGAGUGCUAAGUGUUGGAGGGUUUCCGCCCUUCAGUGCUGCAGCAAACGCAUUAAGCACUCCGCCUGGGGAGUACGACCGCAAGGUUGAAACUCAAAGGAAUUGACGGGGGCCCGCACAAGCGGUGGAGCAUGUGGUUUAAUUCGAAGCAACGCGAAGAACCUUACCAGGUCUUGACAUCCUUUGACCACUCUAGAGAUAGAGCUUCCCCUUCGGGGGCAAAGUGACAGGUGGUGCAUGGUUGUCGUCAGCUCGUGUCGUGAGAUGUUGGGUUAAGUCCCGCAACGAGCGCAACCCUUAUUGUUAGUUGCCAUCAUUUAGUUGGGCACUCUAGCGAGACUGCCGGUGACAAACCGGAGGAAGGUGGGGAUGACGUCAAAUCAUCAUGCCCCUUAUGACCUGGGCUACACACGUGCUACAAUGGGAAGUACAACGAGUUGCGAAGUCGCGAGGCUAAGCUAAUCUCUUAAAGCUUCUCUCAGUUCGGAUUGUAGGCUGCAACUCGCCUACAUGAAGCCGGAAUCGCUAGUAAUCGCGGAUCAGCACGGCGCGGUGAAUACGUUCC